rnacentral:misc_RNA from 1 species
GAUGAAGAACGUAGCGAAAUGCGAUAAGUAAUGUGAAUUGCAGAAUUCAGUGAAUCAUCGAAUCUUUGAACGCUCCUUGCGCUCUUUGGUAUUCCGAAGAGCAUGCCUGUUUGAGUGUCAUGAAAAUAUCAACCUUGACUUGGGUUUUGUGCUCUAGUCUCGGCUUGGAAUUGGGUGCUUGCCGCUUUUACGAGCGGCUCACCUUAAAUGUAUUAGCUGGAUCUGUCUUUGAGACUUGGUUUGACUUGGCGUAAUAAGUAUUUCGCUAAGGACAUGCUUCGGAGUGGCCUCGUUUCUAGGACGCAUGUCCGCUUUCCAAUACAAGUUCCACCUCGUGGACAUGACUUUUUAUUAUCUGGCCUCAAAUCAGGUAGGACUACCCGCUGAACUUAAGCAUAUCAAUAAGCGGAGGA